UUCCGCACCAACAUCCCGCCGACGUUCCCCUUCUUCGUGGGCAUCGACCCGCGCGUGGUCGCCGUCGUGGACGCCGCCGCCUUCACCGCGCUCUUCGACAACACCCUCGUCGACAAGCGCGACAUCCUCAUCGGGCCCUACAACCCCGGGGCCGGGUUCACCGGCGGCACCCGCGUCGGCGUUUACCUCGACACCGAGGAGCCCGAGCACGAGCGCGUCAAGAAGUUCGCCAUGGCCAUCCUCCACCGCAGCGCCACCACCUGGGCCUCCGCGUUCCGCGCCGGCGUCGACGCCAUGCUCGACUCCAUCGAGGCCGAC
rnacentral:lncRNA from 1 species